AAUGGGUCAGCGACUUAUAUUCUGUAGCAAGGUUAACCGAAUAGGGGAGCCGAAGGGAAACCGAGUCUUAACUGGGCGUUAAGUUGCAGGGUAUAGACCCGAAACCCGGUGAUCUAGCCAUGGGCAGGUUGAAGGUUGGGUAACACUAACUGGAGGACCGAACCGACUAAUGUUGAAAAAUUAGCGGAUGACUUGUGGCUGGGGGUGAAAGGCCAAUCAAACCGGGAGAUAGCUGGUUCUCCCCGAAAGCUAUUUAGGUAGCGCCUCGUGAAUUCAUCUCCGGGGGUAGAGCACUGUUUCGGCAAGGGGGUCAUCCCGACUUACCAACCCGAUGCAAACUGCGAAUACCGGAGAAUGUUAUCACGGGAGACACACGGCGGGUGCUAACGUCCGUCGUGAAGAGGGAAACAACCCAGACCGCCAGCUAAGGUCCCAAAGUCAUGGUUAAGUGGGAAACGAUGUGGGAAGGCCCAGACAGCCAGGAUGUUGGCUUAGAAGCAGCCAUCAUUUAAAGAAAGCGUAAUAGCUCACUGGUCGAGUCGGCCUGCGCGGAAGAUGUAACGGGGCUAAACCAUGCACCGAAGCUGCGGCAGCGACACUAUGUGUUGUUGGGUAGGGGAGCGUUCUGUAAGCCUGUGAAGGUGUGCUGUGAGGCAUGCUGGAGGUAUCAGAAGUGCGAAUGCUGACAUAAGUAACGAUAAAGCGGGUGAAAAGCCCGCUCGCCGGAAGACCAAGGGUUCCUGUCCAACGUUAAUCGGGGCAGGGUGAGUCGACCCCUAAGGCGAGGCCGAAAGGCGUAGUCGAUGGGAAACAGGUUAAUAUUCCUGUACUUGGUGUUACUGCGAAGGGGGGACGGAGAAGGCUAUGUUGGCCGGGCGACGGUUGUCCCGGUUUAAGCGUGUAGGCUGGUUUUCCAGGCAAAUCCGGAAAAUCAAGGCUGAGGCGUGAUGACGAGGCACUACGGUGCUGAAGCAACAAAUGCCCUGCUUCCAGGAAAAGCCUCUAAGCAUCAGGUAACAUCAAAUCGUACCCCAAACCGACACAGGUGGUCAGGUAGAGAAUACCAAGGCGCUUGAGAGAACUCGGGUGAAGGAACUAGGCAAAAUGGUGCCGUAACUUCGGGAGAAGGCACGCUGAUAUGUAGGUGAAGCGACUUGCUC
rnacentral:rRNA from 1 species